ACUCCCAAGCUUUUUGUUUUUGAAAGCAACAGAGCCCUUUUUUACUUUCUCUCAACUCCAUCUCCAUCUUUGAACCUUCAUUUUUCACUCUCUGUUUGUUCGUUUGUAGAAUUGAGACCGUAGGGUUGUUUCUUGCAGCAAAACCUUUUAUUCUUACCAAUCAGUUUCUUGUUUGGGAUUGUUUUUCAUUGUCUUAGGUCGAGGUCGAACUUUCGCAUGUUCGAAGGUGCCUUGAGGGUUCUUAGAGUUUGAGUUUAUCUUCGAAGGGACUCCGAAUUUGGAAGUUUAUCCUAACACUCUACUAAUCAUUCAAACUCAUGUACAGGAAAAUGAAUUAAGAGUUUAGAGGUGCAGGAGUUCUUUGUUGGAAGAACCUUUUGUGGUUCUAAGAACCUGUAUACGAUUAACCUUGUGGGUGGAGAUUAUCCAUCACAAGUGCCAAAACUUCUAAGUAGUUCUACCUUAAUGCUUGUUAUCCGGAUAACUAAGUCUUAUAGGUCUUUUAUGAUGUGGCUUGUUGCUUAUAAUGGAACAUUUGUUUGGAAGGUCCCUAAUAUGAUUUAGCUUAUGAUUAAUGGAAAAUUUGUUUUAUAUUAGCUUACCCUCUCCUGUGUGUGUUGUGUUGUUGUUCUUCUUUUGCAAUGAUCACUAAUAUUUGGUGUGAGCAGAUGAGGAUUUAGGUGUUGGCUCCCCUAGCGAUGGUGAUGGCAGUGCAGCUGUUUAGUUCUCUAGAUUUUCUUUCAUUGUUAAGUUGCAUCUUUUGAAAACCCCUUGUAAGGUUUAUCUCUUGCCAUUUUUUUCUAGAGUUUUAGAUUGUGGUGGUAUGUCAGUUUUGUGUUUAUGUCUUGGAUAACUAUAAUAGAAACUCCUAGUGUAUGUUCUUUACUUAAAGUGUUAAAUAUGUGAUAUUUUCCUUUAGUAGAUUUAAAUGGAAUGUUACAAAUAAAGGAUCAAUUCAUAAAUUCAA